rnacentral:rRNA from 1 species
UGACCGCUGGCGGCGUGCCUAAUACAUGCACGUCGAGCGAACAGACGAGGAGCUUGCUCCUUUGACGUUAGCGGCGGACGGGUGAGUAACACGUGGGUAACCUACCUAUAAGACUGGGAUAACUUCGGGAAACCGGAGCUAAUACCGGAUAAUAUUUCGAACCGCAUGGUUCGAUAGUGAAAGAUGGCUUUGCUAUCACUUAUAGAUGGACCUGCGCCGUAUUAGCUAGUUGGUAAGGUAACGGCUUACCAAGGCAACGAUACGUAGCCGACCUGAGAGGGUGAUCGGCCACACUGGAACUGAGACACGGUCCAGACUCCUACGGGAGGCAGCAGUAGGGAAUCUUCCGCAAAGGGCGAAAGCCUGACGGAGCAACGCCGCGUGAGUGAUGAAGGUCUUCGGAUCGUAAAACUCUGUUAUUAGGGAAGAACAAACGUGUAAGUAACUGUGCACGUCUUGACGGUACCUAAUCAGAAAGCCACGGCUAACUACGUG